UUUUUUUUCUGUAUUUCUCCCCUGUUACUUAGUAAAAUGAAAAUGUACAAUGCAACAAGUUAACGGUAAAGGUACAUCACUCCAGAACAUUACGGAUAGAUACUUAUGUACUAUAUGCAAAGAGUGUUAAGUCACAUCUUCUGCAAUGUCAUGCCUACAUAGUUGAGAGCACUCGCAUUGUCUAAUGGCUGAAUCGCUAUGACAACUGUGUUAUUACCGCUCAAUUACUGUUAUUCCCAUUCAAUAACUGUUUAUUUACGGACUACUCAAUGUGUGACAAAUGUGUAACCCAAGAGAUGUGAUGUACACUACUAUUCUG